GCAAACUCAGAAGAAAUGGACACAAAGAGCUAUGCCCCCCCUUACUCCAUCACAGAGUGACAAAGCUGAAGUCAAAGAUGAAAUAGGACAGAAGAGAGGGGUUGGCUCUGAGGCAGUGCCCAAGUUUCGGUGAGUGAGGGUGCUGUUUGUGACUUAAUAAUUGCCUAUACCCUGACCCUUGACUUGGGGGCCCACAAAAGGCUACUUUCUUCUAUGUGCACAUCCAAAAUCCAGUUACCACGGAUGUAAAAGGACAAGGCAAAACUUGGAUGCAUGCUGCUACAAAAUAUUUGUUUUUUAUUUGUAUAGGCCCCUAUCAUGUUUCAGAAAGAGAUCUGAAGUAGCCUAUUAGUUGUCAUUAGAAUGAUGAUGAUUAAUGAUUAUAAUAACAA
rnacentral:lncRNA from 1 species